ensembl:snRNA U1 U1 spliceosomal RNA
CUAGUUGCCUGGCAGGGAACAUACCAUGAUCACGAAGGUGGAUUCCCAGGGGAGGCUUAUCUAUUACACUCUGGAUGUGCUGACCCAUGUGAUUUCCCGAAAUGUGGGAAACUGGACUACAUAAUUUGUGGUAGUUGGGGACUGUGUUUGCAUUCUCCAC